rnacentral:rRNA from 1 species
GACGAACGCUGGCGGCGUGCUUAACACAUGCAAGUCGAACGGAAAGGCCCUGCUUUUGUGGGGUGCUCGAGUGGCGAACGGGUGAGUAACACGUGAGUAACCUGCCCUUGACUUUGGGAUAACUUCAGGAAACUGGGGCUAAUACCGGAUAGGAGCUCCUGCUGCAUGGUGGGGGUUGGAAAGUUUCGGCGGUUGGGGAUGGACUCGCGGCUUAUCAGCUUGUUGGUGGGGUAGUGGCUUACCAAGGCUUUGACGGGUAGCCGGCCUGAGCGGGUGACCGGCCACAUUGGGACUGAGAUACGGCCCAGACUCGUACGGGAGGCAGCAGUGGGGAAUAUUGCACAAUGGGCGGAAGCCUGAUGCAGCAACGCCGCGUGCGGGAUGACGGCCUUCGGGUUGUAAACCGCUUUCGCCUGUGACGAAGCGUGAGUGACGGUAAUGGGUAAAGAAGCACCGGCUAACUACGUG